CCUACGGGGGGCAGCAGUGGGGAAUAUUGCACAAUGGGCGAAAGCCUGAUGCAGCAACGCCGCGUGAGCGAUGAAGGCCUUCGGGUCGUAAAGCUCUGUCCUCAAGGAAGAUAAUGACGGUAGUUGAGGAGGAAGCACCGGCUAACUACGUGCCAGCAGCCGCGGUAAUACGAGGGGGGCUAGCGUUAUCCGGAAUUACUGGGCGUAAGGGGUGCGUAGGUGGUUUCUUAAGUCAGAGGUGAAAGGCUACGGCUCAACCGUAGUAAGCCUUUGAAACUGGGGAACUGGAGUGCAGGAGAGGAGAGUGGAAUUCCUAGUGUAGCGGUGAAAUGCGUAGAUAUUAGGAGGAACACCAGUGGCGAAGGCGGCUGUCUGGACUGUAACUGACACUGAGGCACGAAAGCGUGGGGAGCAAACAGGAUUAGAUACCCGGGUAGUC
rnacentral:rRNA from 1 species